CACGUAGGAAGCGAGCGUUAUCCGGAUUUACUGGGCGUAAAGCGCGUGCAGGCGGUUUUACAAGUUGGAUGUGAAAGCUCCCGGCUUAACUGGGAGAGGUCGUUCAAGACUGUGAGACUGGAGUGCGAAAGAGGGAGGUAGAAUUCCGAGUGUAGUGGUGAAAUGCGUAGAUAUUCGGAGGAAUACCAGAGGCGAAGGCGGCCUCCUGGUUCGCAACUGACGCUGAGACG
rnacentral:rRNA from 1 species